rnacentral:lncRNA from 8 species
AGUGUAUGGGAAGUAGUCAAGAAGUCCACAGUGUUUUUCUACUGGUACUGAACGUCAUACUCUGCCCACUGUGUUCUCUUCUAAACAGUAUGUGGUCCUGAACUUCCCACUAGCGUUAAGAAGUUUACCUUCCACAUUCCCUGUGGGUUUAUAGCCUAAUUGCUUUAGCAGAGAGGAGGAAGAGUGUGUGUGUGUGCAUGUGUGUGCGCACCCAUGUGUGUGAGGUCAGAGAGGGAUCGAAUCCACACCACGUGAUGUCAUAACAACAUCUCAUUGUGUAAUUUGUUUUGUUUGUUCCAGGCAUUUCAGUAAAGCAUCACUCAACACAAACAGUUAUGCUGUGUGGAGAUUUGGGUCGGGGUCAACAGGGUAAUGGUCGAGCGGAGAAACUUCCAUCGUCUUUCAUCUUUGACGGUUAUACAUAUUGUCUUUUAUCUCAAUCAGAAUACAAGCCCAGUUUGUUUGCAGAACUGUGAAAUGUUUGCAAUUAUUCUGAGAAAUGAAGGACAAUUUUCAGGGGUUCUAGAGAGGAGCUGUGUUGGACGAUGGUGUCAGCGUCUGUCUCUACCUUAACGCUGUGUUCUGCUGAGAUGUGAGAGGUCGAGUUGACCCCACCAUGAAGAGGCCCAUGAGGAGGAACACCAGGUAAUAAUAUUAUGAGCAAAUGGCCCAUCUGAGAGUGCCUGCUACCUGCAGAUGCCUGAGAUGAGAGGUACUGAGAAAGUGGGUGGGUGGGUGGGGAGGGAGAAAGAGAAAGAGACAUGUUCCAAGCAUGUUAGAUCAAUCAUGUCACACCAGUGACUCCAGUAAUCUUACAAUGGGAGGAAGGAGAGACGCAUUGAAUUUCAGAUAAAGCUUGGAAUAGUUUACCUAACAACAUGCUCUCUAAACAUGCUCAGGUGGAGUCCUACUACACACAUCCCUGUGGAUAUUCCGGGUCAGGGAAUGGCAGCAUGGAGACACAAAGUAAGCAUGAAAGAACCUGCUUGGAUUGACAUGAAGAAAAGAAUAUAUCAAAGGAAAAGACCCGGAGCGCCGGGAACAGAAUAGGAAUCUCUGGCCUCCAAGGGAAGGACUCAUCCACCCAUCCCCCAUAUUGGAUUUACAUAAAUUCCACAAAAUCACCAGGAGAUACAAUCUUGUGUGGUUCUCUGUUACGGGGUCACUGCAUUUGAAUGGAGAUCUACUUGAGAGUCAGAGUAGCAGAAGAAAAAAAAGCUUUCCAUUUUCCAGUUGUCAUGCAAUACAUAGCUUAAGUGGGUUGGCUCCGCAAAGUCAGUCGUGACAGGAAAAUGCCAGGCUUUCUGCACCAUUUAUUGAAAAUAAUGAUAGUGGCAACGAAAAUACGAUUUAGAGGUCACUUCCCCAUGGCAUGCGUUCAUCCAGUCACUCGCCCUAUUUAAAGACCAAGAUGGCCUCUUAUUCGCAGUAAAUCCUGAUCUGAAGUAGCGAGCUGGGAUAAUGGUCAUAGAGAACAAUCAUGUCACUUCUCUCCUUUUGUAAUUGAGGGAGCUGUAGAACGCUGGCCACUCAAUAUAGCAGUAGUGCUGCCACAUCUGGCAUAGGCUAAUUCAAUUACCAUGAGGUUGUAAGUAGCAAGAACAUUUCCCAGGACAUAGACAUAUCUGAUAUUGGCAGAAAGCUUAAAUUAUUGUUAAUCUAACUGCACUGUCCAAUUACAGUAGCUAUUACAGUGAAAGAAUACCAUGCUAUUGUUUGAGGAGAGUGCACAAUUUUGAACAUGAAAAGUUAUUAAUAAACAAAUCAGGCACAUUUGGGCAGUCUUGAUACAACAUUUUGAACAGAAAUGAAAUGGUUGAUUGGAUCAGUCUAAAACGUUGCACAUACACUGCUGCCAUCUACUGACCAAAAUCGAAAUGGCACCUGGGCUGGAAUAAUACAUUAUGGCCUUUCUCUUGAAUUUCAAAGAUGGUACAAAGAAAAUAUAAAGAACGGUUGGUUUCUUCUUUGUAUUAUCUUUUACCAGAUAUAUUGUGUUAUAUUCUCCUAGAUUCCUUUCACAUUUCCACAGACUUCAAAACGUUUCCUUUCAAAUGGUACCAAGAAUAUGCAUAUCCUUGCUUCAGGGCCUGAGCUACAGGCAGUUCGUUUUGGGUAUGUCAUUUUAGGGGAAUUUUAUUAUUAUGAUUUUUUUUUUUAAAGGGGCUGAUCCUUAUUAAAUCUUAGGUGUGGAAAUGUGCUUAAACCAAAGACUGUGGAAACUAUUUAGUUCAUUAUCUCUCCUUGAACCUCAUGGGCUGACCAACAGUGUUUUAAAUAGUGAUUUAAAGACAGUGUCAAGCACAGCAGCAAUCUCUUGUCUGACAGGGCUUUAGAUAAAGAUGUAAUUACGGAGUUAGUCCUCUUACAGGUCCAUAGCAUCAGGUAAUUAGACCAAUAGAAAAUGUAUUAUCUAUUUAAACAUAUUUGAUUCUAUUUAAGGUCAAUAGUUAUUAGUCUGUAAUGGACGACUGAAAUAUUAUACAGUACUUUGAACUGUUUUGAACCUGGCCCUUUGAAUGAGUGUUUUUAAAUAAAAUGCUUUGUUGCUAAAUAAUUGCUUGGCACAAGGUUGUAUUUAAGAAACUGGUCCUAACAUGUGAGCCCAUCUCCAU